AACGAACGCUGGCGGCAUGCCUAACACAUGCAAGUCGAACGUGAUCCGGGGCUUCGGUUCCGGUGAAAGUGGCGGACGGGUGAGUAACGCGUGGGAACCUGCCCAGUGGUAGGGGAUAACCGCGGGAAACUGCGGCUAAUACCCUACGUGCCCUGCGGGGCAAAGAUUCAUCGCCAUUGGAGGGGCCCGCGUCGGAUUAGGUAGUUGGUGGGGUAACGGCCUACCAAGCCAUCGAUCCGUAGCUGGUCUGAGAGGUUGAUCAGCCACACUGGGACUGACACACGGCCCAGACUCCUACGGGAGGGAGCAGUGGGGAGUAUUGGACAAUGGGGGCAACCCUGAUCCAGCAAUGCCGCGUGAGUGAUGAAGGCCUUAGGGUUGUAAAGCUCUUUCGGCGGGGAAGAUGAUGACGGUACCCGCAGAAGAAGCCCCGGCAAACUCUGUGCCAGCCGCCGCCGUAAUAC
rnacentral:rRNA from 1 species